GAGCAAAACUGUCUUGAAAACAUGGCGUGUAUUUGCCUUGAAGGCUGGCAAUAGCAUAACCUAUGCAGUUCUCCGUGCCUCUCUGAUCCUUCAUGGCUGGCCUCGAACAAAUUGCAACAUU